GAUGGGUUAUGUGAUUGCUCGGU
rnacentral:piRNA from 1 species